ACGGAGGAUGCGAGCGUUAUCCGGAUUUAUUGGGUUUAAAGGGUGCGUAGGCGGCCGAGUAAGUCAGCGGUGAAAUUUUGCAGCUUAACUGUAACAGUGCCGUUGAUACUGCAUGGCUAGGAUUUGGUUGCUGUGGGUGGAAUGUGUGGUGUAGCGGUGAAAUGCUUAGAUAUCACACAGAAUAUCAAUUGCGAAGGCAGCUCACAAAGCCAAGAUUGACGCUGAGGCACGAAAGUGUGGGGAUCAAACAGGAUUAGAUACCCUGGUAGUCCACACUGUAAACGAUGAUAACUCACUGCCGGCGAUACACAGUCGGUGGCCAAGCGAAAGCGAUAAGUUAUCCACCUGGGGAGUACGACCGCAAGGUUG
rnacentral:rRNA from 1 species